rnacentral:rRNA from 2 species
AUUUACAUUUGAGUGAGUGGCGAACUUGGUGAGUAACACGUGGGAAACCUGCCCAGAAGCGGGGGAUAACACCUGGAAACAGAUGCUAAUACCGCAUAACAACUUGGACCGCAUGGUCCGAGUUUGAAAGAUGGCUUCGGCUAUCACUUUUGGAUGGUCCCGCGGCGUAUUAGCUAGAUGGUGGGGUAACGGCUCACCAUGGCAAUGAUACGUAGCCGACCUGAGAGGGUAAUCGGCCACAUUGGGACUGAGACACGGCCCAAACUCCUACGGGAGGCAGCAGUAGGGAAUCUUCCACAAUGGACGAAAGUCUGAUGGAGCAACGCCGCGUGAGUGAAGAAGGGUUUCGGCUCGUAAAACUCUGUUGUUAAAGAAGAACAUAUCUGAGAGUAACUGUUCAGGUAUUGACGGUAUUUAACCAGAAAGCCACGGCUAACUACGUGCCAGCAGCCGCGGUAAUACGUAGGUGGCAAGCGUUGUCCGGAUUUAUUGGGCGUAAAGCGAGCGCAGGCGGUUUUUUAAGUCUGAUGUGAAAGCCUUCGGCUCAACCGAAGAAGUGCAUCGGAAACUGGGGAAACUUGAGUGCAGAAGAGGACAGUGGAACUCCAUGUGUAGCGGUGAAAUGCGUAGAUAUAUGGAAGAACACCAGUGGCGAACGCGGCUGUCUGGUCUGUAACUGACGCUGAGGCUCGAAAGUAUGGGUAGCAACAGGAUUAGAUACCCUGGUAGUCCAUACCGU